rnacentral:misc_RNA from 1 species
GAUGAAGAACGUAGCGAAAUGCGAUAAGUAGUGUGAAUUGCAGAAUUCAGUGAAUCAUCGAAUCUUUGAACGCACAUUGCGCCUUCUAGUAUUCUGGGAGGCAUGCCUGUUUGAGCGUCAUUAAACCUCUCUCAAGUAUGAUUACUUGGAUGUGAAGGAAGAGUACCUUAAACUUAAGGAGUGUUCUCCUUUGAAAUUGAUUAGCAGAUGGUAAUGUUAUUAAAUCCCUGAUGUUGUAAGAAAUAACAGUGGUUUUGUAGACUAUUAUCUAGCUUUAAAUUAUAAUUUUUAUUAUGGUUGACCUCAAAUCAGGUAAGGAUACCCGCUGAACUUAAGCAUAUCAAUGAGCGGAGGA